rnacentral:ncRNA from 1 species
GAAAAGUUUUAUUUUGGCUUAGGGUUUUUCUUGAGGAUUGAUAUAUAUAUAAGUUUUAGCUUAAGUUGGUUUUUAGAUAGAAAUUUGAGUUUAAUUGGUAGUAUAUAAUUUUAAAUUUUCAUUAUUUUGAGAUUUAGCAAUUGUUCUUAACAUAAACAAAAUUUGUGCCAGCAGUAGCGGUUAUACAAAUUAUGUAAGUAAAACUUUUCGAGAUUAGUUAAAAGUUAAUUUUUUGGAUUAUAAUUUUGGUUUUUUAGGUGAAAUUUAAAAUUGAAUUAUUUUCUAUAUUAGUUUUUGAGGCUGUAAAAUUUGUUUGUAGACUAGGAUUAGAUACCCUAUUAUUUCAUAUGUGAAUUUUUGUUCUUUGAUUAUUAGUAGUUAUGGUCUUUAAAAUUAAAAAAUUUGGCGGUAUUUUAGUCUGUUCAGAGGAACCUGUUUUUUAAUUGAUGGUCCACGAUAAUUUUUACUUUAGUUUUUAAUUUGCAUAUCGUCGUUUAUAAAAAUUUUAAGAGAAUAACAAUUUUUAUGAUUUUUGAUUAUAAAUUAUUUCAGAUCAAGGUGUAGUUUAUAUUAAAGUUAAAAUGGGUUACAAUGAUAUAAUUUUUGGCUUUUUCAUUUAAAAUUUAAAUUAAAUUGGAUUUGAUAGUAAGUUCUUUAUUUAUGGGAAUUGAUUUAGCUCUAAAAUAUGCACAUAUCGCCCGUCGCUUUCAUUUUAAAGUGAAAUAAGUCGUAACAAAGUAGGCUUAUUGGAAAAUGAGCCUGGAAUGAA